GACGAACGCUGGCGGCGUGCUUAACACAUGCAAGUCGAACGGAAAGGCCCUGCUUUUGUGGGGUGCUCGAGUGGCGAACGGGUGAGUAACACGUGAGUAACCUGCCCUUGACUUUGGGAUAACUUCAGGAAACUGGGGCUAAUACCGGAGAGGAGCUCCUGCUGCAUGGUGGGGGUUGGAAAGAUUCGGCGGUUGUGGAUGGACUGGCGGCUUAUCGGCUGGCUGGUGGGGUAGUGGCUGCCCAAGGCUUUGACGGGUAGCCGGCAUGGGAGGGGGACCGGCGACCAUGGGACUGAGGGACGCCCCAGACGGCUAUGGGCGGCAGUGGGCGAGAGUAUUGCAGAGUGGCCGCACGUCUGAUACAGCAAUGCCGCGUGCGUGAUGCUCGCUUAUGGGUUGUAAACAGCUUUCGACGUUGAUGAACCGUGAGUGACGGUAACGGGUAAAGAAGCACCGGCUAACUACGUG
rnacentral:rRNA from 1 species